UCGGGAAUAUUGCGCAAUGGAGGAAACUCUGACGCAGUGACGCCGCGUGCAGGAAGAAGGUUUUCGGAUUGUAAACUGCUUUAGACAGGGAAGAAACGAGACAGUACCUGUAGAAUAAGCUCCGGCUAACUACGUGCCAGCAGCCGCGGUAAUACGUAGGGAGCAAGCGUUAUCCGGAUUUAUUGGGUGUAAAGGGUGCGUAGACGGGAAUGCAAGUUGGUUGUGAAAUCCCUCGGCUCAACCGAGGAAUUGCAACCAAAACUAUAUUUCUUGAGUGCUGGAGAGGAAAGUGGAAUUCCUAGUGUAGCGGUGAAAUGCGUAGAUAUUAGGAGGAACACCAGUGGCGAAGGCGACUUUCUGGACAGUAACUGACGUUGAAGCACGAAAGUGUGGGGAGCAAACAGGAUUAGAUACC
rnacentral:rRNA from 1 species